rnacentral:rRNA from 1 species
CGGUAAAAGCUCAAAUUUGAAAUCUGGCUCUUUUAGAGUCCGAAUUGUAAUUUGUAGAAGAUGCUUCGGGUGUGGUUCCGGUCUAAGUUCCUUGGAACAGGACGUCAUAGAGGGUGAGAAUCCCGUAUGUGACUGGAUACCUAUGCUCAUGUGAAGCUCUUUCGACGAGUCGAGUUGUUUGGGAAUGCAGCUCAAAAUGGGAGGUAUAUUUCUUCUAAAGCUAAAUAUUGGCCAGAGACCGAUAGCGCACAAGUAGAGUGAUCGAAAGAUGAAAAGCACUUUGGAAAGAGAGUUAAACAGUACGUGAAAUUGUUGAAAGGGAAGCGCUUGCAAUCAGACUUGCACUUGGUGUUCAUCAGGGUCUCGUACCCUGUGUACUUCAUCAAGUUCAGGCCAGCAUCAGUUUGAGUGGUUAGAUAAAGGCUUAGAGAAUGUGGCCCUCUUCGGGGGGUGUUAUAGCUCUAGGUGCAAUGUAGCC